GUUUGGCAUGUUCUUAAAUAUCACUUUAAAUAUUUUAAUUGUGAGUUUGUUCUCUCAUUGCUUAAUAUGUCAGGACACCACUUGCAACUGGACAGACAAGACGCAAUACAGUGAAACAUCACAAUGUGUAUGCUGGAUAUUUUGUCCAGAAGUAUACCCUAAGAAACAGUAUUGAAAGCUUUGCUGAAAUCAAAAAAGAUUACAUCAACUUCCCUUGAUCAACUAGGUAGUUCUUGACAUCCUUCUUCAGGAAUCACAUUGACUAUCUCUUCAGAGAAUCACAUUGACUUUCUCUGUGCUCCUAGCCAGAAGGAUCCUGAAGGAGCAACCAAGUUUUGUGCAGUAUAUUUAGAUGCAAACAAGAUCAUUUACCCUAUAUGGUUCCUUCAAAGUGCUUUGGUUCUUCUGGAAGAUGAUAUGCUUCUUUGUAUAUAUUAAUUGUAUUUUCUCAUGCAAGGGGUAUCUUAGAAAUGCAAUUACUGUUGCAUAUACAACAAUUCACUUACAUAUAUUUCCUGGGAACUAUUUACAUAGCUUAACAAGUAAUUGUGAAUAUCUAUUGCUCACUGACGGAUUUUAUUUAAAUAAAUUUCAUAUUGAAAAAUAUUUGCAUCAGAACAUUAUCUUAAUAUU